rnacentral:piRNA from 1 species
UCAGCUUUGAAGUUGCUGGUGGCUUUCUGC